UACGUAGGGUGCGAGCGUUGUCCGGAAUUACUGGGCGUAAAGAGCUCGUAGGUGGUUUGUCGCGUUGUCCGUGAAAACUCACAACUCAAUUGUGGGCGUGCGGGCGAUACGGGCAGACUGGAGUACUGCAGGGGAGACUGGAAUUCCUGGUGUAGCGGUGAAAUGCGUAGAUAUCGAGAGGAACGACCUGCGGCGAAGGCGGGUUGCUGGGCUGACACUGACGCUGACAGCGCGAAAGCUAGGGGAGCGAACGGG
rnacentral:rRNA from 1 species